GGAAGAGAGAGGCCAGGUGUUGCAACAUUUAGCUUCUAGUUUCAGCUCUGCUACAAACUAACAAACCAUUUUGACCAACUUCCUUAAACUCUCUGGACUUCAGUUUCCUCAUCUGAAAAAUGAGAGUGAUGGCCUGAAUUCCUUUCAAAUCCGCCAGCCCCGUUACUUUCUUCCCCCUGUUGAAACACCUAUGGAAGCUACUGUUCUCUUAUUGUCUUUGGUGGAUACGAAGACUUCUGUAUUGCAAGAGUACCAUCUCCAACCUAAAUGACCUCUCAAGAAAACGAAAUCUUGAAUCAUUUCCACCUGAUAUGGAAACAGUUUCAACAGGUAAAGCAACUCUGCCUAUGGGAUGGGGAUCAAGGAGAACACUUUACCUGACAGCUGUUUGCCUCCUUACCUCAUCUCUGCACAAUGGAGAGAAUCCUGCUUUGGCCUCAGCGCUGCUGUCCCCCUGCCUCUGCCCAGGUGGGUGAUGACACUGGCAGCCUGGUCCCUGGGCUUUGGUUGGGCCUGAUCAGAGCAAUGGAGAAAUAAGCACGCAGCUGGAAAUGUGAGGGUGGGACUUGCUCUGGAAAGAACUGAAAAUGAUUUGUGGGGAAACAAAAAAGAAUAAAGGUGGGAAGAAAGCUUCA
rnacentral:lncRNA from 1 species